rnacentral:lncRNA from 1 species
AUUGACUAAAUGUGUUUUCACAAUAUAAGCUGGCAUAAAAAUAAAUAAAAUUCUCUAUUAUCCCGAUAGCAACAAUAAUGUACAAAUAAUAAUGGUUUAUGGGCAAAUAUUAACUAUUCUAAUUGAAGUUCCAAAAGAAAAUAGUUCAUUUUAAAAUUCUCUACUUAAAAGUCAGUGCUUUGUCUGGUUUCCUGCAGGGCUGCUGCUGGUGAGUCCAGCCUUAAAAUGUAAAGUAUCCACCUUGCGUAAUUAGCUCAAAUUAUGUUGGCAUUGGGAAAAAAAAUAAAUCAUUGCCUUUUUUCUGAAGUAACACAAAAAGACUCACUAACUUCACAUAUAGAAACAAUUUAUUUCUAUACGUGAAACAUAAUGACUUGAGUUUGGAGAAGUAUAAGCUGUCAACUAGCUAUUUCUAAUACAGAAUAGAUGUACAAUAUGGUUAAAACUUUACACAGGGCCUCAUAACUGAAGGGCAAUUUUAGUUUCAUUUUUGAUAUACCAACAUUAUGUGUCUAGGAAUUACUUCCUGGGUUCUGUUAAAAAGAAGAAAUCCCAUCCUUAAGCAUUAUGGAGUGGUCAUCUAAAAUAAUGCUAAUUAAUAUGUAACCAAGUGUUUGGUGGUGGGGGGGGUGUAAAGGCAUAAAAAUGAUGAACAUAACUGCCUUGGUAAAAGGAUCCUAGACAUGUGUAAGUCUGUGCAAAAAUCUUGAUAAUUCUUAGUGGUUAAGGGCAACUUCAUGCAACCAAAUAACAUGAGAUUAAAUCAAUAACCUUUUAAAAAAGAUUAAAAUGUCUCUUUUCCCAACAAAACAAAGAGGAAUGUGAAUAAUGUACAUACAAACUGGGUUCUGUCAAUGACAACAAGGACUAUGUGUUGGUUCAUAUCAAAUCCAAGAAUACUAGACAACAUUUAACCUUCUGGGGUUUCUCUUAAUAUGCAGCAUUCAUUAGGGUAUUUAGGUCCCUUCACUGGUUUUCUGCAAAUGUGAAGUGGUUCUUGUGUC